GGGGCAUCCGGGGGGAGGGCUUUGGGUCACCUCCCACCCGUGUUUAUUUUACCUUGUUGCUUCGGCGGGCCCGCCUUUACUGGCCGCCGGGGGGCUCACGCCCCCGGGCCCGCGCCCGCCGAAGACACCCCCGAACUCUGUCUGAAGAUUGAAGUCUGAGUGAAAAUAUAAAUUAUUUAAAACUUUCAACAACGGAUCUCUUGGUUCCGGCAUCGAUGAAGAACGCAGCGAAAUGCGAUACGUAAUGUGAAUUGCAAAUUCAGUGAAUCAUCGAGUCUUUGAACGCACAUUGCGCCCCCUGGUAUUCCGGGGGGCAUGCCUGUCCGAGCGUCAUUGCUGCCCUCAAGCCCGGCUUGUGUGUUGGGCCCCGUCCUCCGAUUCCGGGGGACGGGCCCGAAAGGCAGCGGCGGCACCGCGUCCGGUCCUCGAGCGUAUGGGGCUUUGUCACCCGCUCUGUAGGCCCGGCCGGCGCUUGCCGAUCAACCCAAAUUUUUAUCCAGGUUGACCUCGGAUCAGGUAGGGAUACCCGCUGAACUUAAGCAUAUCAAUAAGGCCGGAGGAA
rnacentral:rRNA from 1 species